rnacentral:rRNA from 1 species
UGGGGAAUCUUGGACAAUGGGCGCAAGCCUGAUCCAGCCAUGCCGCGUGAGUGAUGAAGGCCUUAGGGUUGUAAAACUCUUUCGCCGAGGACGAUAAUGACGGUACUCGGAGAAGAAGCUCCGGCUAACUUCGUGCCAGCAGCCGCGGUAAUACGAAGGGGGCUAGCGUUGUUCGGAUUUACUGGGCGUAAAGCGCGUGUAGGCGGGUCGUUAAGUUGGGGGUGAAAUCCCGAGGCUCAACCUCGGAACUGCCUUCAAAACUGGCGGCCUGGAGCAAAGAAGAGGCGAGUGGAAUUCCGAGUGUAGAGGUGAAAUUCGUAGAUAUUCGGAGGAACACCAGUGGCGAAGGCGACUCGCUGGUCUUUUGCUGACGCUGAGACGCGAAAGCGUGGGGAGCAAACAGGAUUAGAUACCCGCGUAGUCC